rnacentral:rRNA from 1 species
UACGUAGGGUGCAAGCGUUGUCCGGAAUUAUUGGGCGUAAAGGGCUCGUAGGCGGUCCAUCGCGUCGGGAGUGAAAAGCUGGGGCUUAACCCCAGUCCUGCUUCCGAUACGGGUGGACUAGAGGUAGGUAGGGGAGAUCGGAAUUCCUGGUGUGAGCGGUGAAAUGCGCAGAUAUCAGGAGGAACACCGGUGGCGAAGGCGGAUCUCUGGGCCUUACCUGACGCUGAGGAGCGAAAGCAUGGGGAGCAAACAGG